rnacentral:rRNA from 1 species
UAAUUGAGGAAGAGGAUGGAGAGCGGAGGGGAAGUGGGUAAUCGUAGUUGCGUCGCGCUCCGUGCGUUCGCUGGGACGGUGAUAGGACAGGCGACAGUUGGAAGAGGGUGGUAAAAAACGACGUUCGUGGUUGGUGGCGAUCGACCUUGGCCGCUCGAGGCCACGAUGAUAGUCGACGCAGCCGACAACCUUGGCCGUUUUCUUUUCGACGUUGGCCGUUGGCGAAAAAGAUGCAGCUGCUACCACCACGGCACUAUACGACCUUUGCCGUUUUUUUCUUUCCGACGUUGGCCGUUUGGCCAAACGAUGCAGGCGCUGCCACCACAGCACUACCCGACCUUGGCCGUCUUCUUCGAGGUUGGCCGUUUUCAAACCAUGACUAUCGCUGCUACCACGGCGGUACUCGACGUUGGCCGUUUUCUUUUCCGACGUUGGCCGCGGUCGCUGCCCCCCGCGCAAAAAACGACGCUGGCCGCCUGGUGUUCAAUGUUGGCCGUAUCUUUAAACGACCUUGGCCGCUACGGUUUUCGACCUUGGUGACCCUUAUCCUCGACAUUGGUAGAUCGGCCUCCUCGAUGUUGGCACCCUACGGCACGAGAGGGAGCGGCAGUUUACGAUGUUGACGCAACGAUCUACAACCUUGGCCAGCAGACUAAACGAUGGUGGCCGAUAUGAACUACGAUCAUGGAACUGCCGUUCUGUUCAAUGUGAGCUUACGAUGUUGGUCUAAAUUCCUACGACCUUCUUGGCUCCUGUGGCUCUCGUCGUAGUUACCGCUGUUUCCGAUGCAGACCCUUCAGUACAACGUUAGUCCCCCUCCCUCCCCUGCUGUGGCCACUUCGGACACGACCCCCGGUCGCCACGCCACGUAGCUGGUUGGAGCAGCUCCGCGCUGCGACGGCGGUCGCUCCUCGCCGUAGGGCCGCACCCUGACCAGGCACCUAAAUCAGUUGCCCGCACUCCUCCUUCCCUUUCUUGCGUUCCACUCGACCGGGUCGACCCACUUAGCAAAAGGAAAGCCAGGUUAGAUUGCCUGCGUGCCGAGUGCAGCAUGCCCACCCUACGCUGGCCGGGUUUCAAACCCGGCCGCGCGGCCGCGGAUAGCCAGGGGUAAAAAAAAUGGCAUGUGUCAAAGUCGGGCAGUGGCUCUGCCGGUGCCUAGACCAGGUAUAUAUCUCUCCACUGCUGCGGUGCGUCAGCAAAGAGAUAAGUUAGGGGUUAGGCCCACAGUUUUUAGUUUUGACAAGGCGGCGGCGGCACCUACCCGCGUUGUCUUCCAUCGGGACCGCGACCGGACGGUGCUGGUAGGCUCAAACUGACCUACAAGUGGCUGCUCCCCACCCGGAACGACAGGCUCCUCUGUGCGGCAAGUUAAUAUCCUCAAGACCUACUCCUGUCUCUUCUCUUCUGGGCGGAGGUUCUCGCGGCAGUUAGGGCCAGGGCCUUCCUGGCGGCGUUCCUAGGAGCCGGCCUGUUUGUCUAUGUUGGAUCAUUCUCGGAGCUGGGAUUGGACAGCUCCCUACAAGCCCUAAGUCUAGUUGAAAACACCUAGGCUGUUGUAGCGUACGAGUUGGUAAGUCUUAGACGCGGCGGCGGCUACGCGAUAUGAAGGACGGUUGAGGAGCCCUUACCUACGAGAGUAAUAGGAGUAGGAUACGAUGUUAAGAAACCAUAAAAACAGGUCAAAAUGUCCUUGCGGAACUUAUAGUACACACCGUUAUGUGUAUAACUACAUAUACCGAACGAACGACAUUCCCUAAGGAACCUAGGAAGGGCCUUGAUAUAAAAAGUGGCGAGCUCUCUCUUACGAGUUCGAUAGCUGCACCAUUAAGAUGUGAGAAAGAAACGUGAGAUGUACUAAUUAAUAACCCAUGUAAAUUACUUGUCUAGAGGUAAACGAAACCAAUUCUUGUGAUAUAAAGACGGGCAAACACAAACAAUACUUGCGAUAUAAACACAGAUUUAGAAGGUAAAUUUGGACAUAAACGUUUUCAAAACUUGGGCUUUAACGAGAUAUGUAUGACAGAUCGAUAGAUAUAGCAUUUAAUUAAGACCCUAACUAUAUUAAGAACCUAUGUAAAAUCUUACCACCGAUAGAUUCAGACUCGAUGGGACGUGCCCCGUAUAGACGUUACCCGACGGACUAACUCUGACUAUAUUUCUAGUUCCCGUUCCUUCAACCGUUUCUAAACAGCUAAUAACUACCUAGACACUUUCGGAAACCCGUCAAACUGAGCUCCUGACGAUUGGUACAACUAUUGCAGUUACCAUUUUAAUAUAAGUUCUGUGUACAACAAGCAUUUCCACAGCUCCGUUGAUAUCUGGAGCUAAAACACCUCCACGGUUAUCUGUCGAAGUUACACGCCUACGCACCAUUUUGACAGGCACCAUUUCGACAAAUGAGGAAAUAGUGACUCACAACACUACUACUGUCAAAAUAUCGAAGUGGACCCUUCGUAUUAUUCUUCAAACAUCGCCGACACUCGUAUCCACUAUGUGAUACACAUCUGAAGUACCUCUUUUCCGCUCUUCGCGAGAGAAAACAUAGUAGGUUCGUGCCGUUGCUCGUCGAUGGAAUGGCUAAGUCGUUACCUCGAAACCAGAAACAAUUUCAGAUAACCAGUUGGUAGCAGUUCCCAACUGGUAACCCAGACAUUAGUGACUUUCUUUUCUUUCUAUAGUAAUAACAGUCAAAACUUCAAAAACUAGAAAUGGGGAAUAUAAAACCUCACUUCACGUGACAUCCAGGAAUUUGAUAAAGUCCCCACAGUGUAUCCAAGAGCUUGAUAUUUUUAGCAGUAA